CAGAAGGUUACAUGGUCAAUUACACCCCCAAUCAAGACACCCAUAGUCAUCAAACAACAUCUACACUCAAAAUCCUUGUCUAGUCAAUUAGAUAAUGAAACAAAGCAGACACAGUAUGUUAACCAAAACAUAAUGUGUUUCACAACACCAACCCACACUUCCACGGCUGUAUACUCGAACUAUCAUUCCCCCAACGUCUCUACACUCCUGGCCGCCGCAAAAUCCUUACGAG
rnacentral:misc_RNA from 1 species